GGCACUGAAAAUGCCUAAAUGGGUUACACCAACCCCAUAAACA
rnacentral:tRNA from 1 species